rnacentral:rRNA from 1 species
UAACACAUGCAAGUCUAGCGGGAAAGGGCUUCGGCCCUAGUACCGCGGCAGACGAGUGAGUAACACGUGAGUAACCUGUCCCCGGGUCUGGGAUAACUACCCGAAAGGGUAGCUAAUACCGGAUAAAGUCACCGGACGCAAGUUCGGUGAUGAAAGGGGGCCUCUGCAUAGCAAGCUCCUGCCUGGGGGGGGGCUCGCGGCCCAUCAGCUAGUUGGUGGGGUAACGGCCCACCAAGGCGACGACGGGUAGCCGGCCUGAGAGGGUGGUCGGCCACGCGGGCACUGAGACUCGGGCCCGACUCCUACGGGAGGCAGCAGGGGGGAAUCUUGGGCAAUGGGCGAAAGCCUGACCCAGCGACGCCGCGUGGGGGAAGAAGGCCUUCGGGUCGUAAACCCCUGUUCUGGAGGAAGAACCCAGGAUAGGUGAAUAACCUAUCCUGGCUGACGGUACUCCAGGAGAAAGCCACGGCUAACUGCGUGCCAGCAGCCGCGGUAAUACGCAGGUGGCGAGCGUUGCCCGGAAUUACUGGGCGUAAAGGGUGCGUAGGCGGCCGGACAAGUCAAAGGUUAAAGCCCGGAGCUCAACUCCGGAAAGGCCUAUGAUACUGCCUGGCUUGAGGGCCGGAGAGGCUGGCGGAAUUCCCGGUGUAGGGGUGAAAUCCGUAGAUAUCGGGAGGAACGCCGGUGGGGAAGCCGGUCUCCUGGGCCGACCCCGACGCUGAGGCCCGAAAGCCAGGGGAGCAAACCGGAUUAGAUACCCGGGUAGUCCUGGCCGUAAACGAUGCCCACUAGGUGUGGGGGGAUUAUCCCUCCGUGCUGAAGCUAACGCGUUAAGUGGGCCGCCUGGGGAGUACGCCCGCAAGGGUGAAACUCAAAGGAAUUGACGGGGGCCCGCACAAGCGGUGGAGCGUGUGGUUUAAUUGGAUGCUAAGCCAAGAACCUUACCAGGGCUUGACAUGCCGGUGGUACCUCCCCGAAAGGGGUAGGGACCCAGUCCUUUGGGACUGGGAGCCGGCACAGGUGGUGCACGGCCGUCGUCAGCUCGUGCCGUGAGGUGUUGGGUUAAGUCCCGCAACGAGCGCAACCCCUGCCCCUAGUUGCCAGCGGUUCGGCCGGGCACUCUAGGGGGACUGCCGGCGACGAGCCGGAGGAAGGAGGGGAUGACGUCAGGUACUCGUGCCCCUUAUGCCCAGGGCGACACACGCGCUACAAUGGGCGGUACAAUGGGUUGCGACCCCGCGAGGGGGAGCCAAUCCCCAAAACCGCCCUCAGUUCGGAUCGCAGGCUGCAACCCGCCUGCGUGAAGCCGGAAUCGCUAGUAAUCGCGGAUCAGCCACGCCGCGGUGAAUACGUUCCCGGGCCUUGUACACACCGCCC